AGUGAACGCUGGCGGUAGGCCUAACACAUGCGAGUCGAACGGCAGCACAGUAAGAGCUUGCUCUUACGGGUGGCGAGUGGCGGACGGGUGAGGAAUACAUCGGAACCUACUUUUUCGUGGGGGAUAACGUAGGGAAACUUACGCUAAUACCGCAUACGACCUACGGGUGAAAGCAGGGGAUCUUCGGACCUUGCGCGAUUGAAUGAGCCGAUGUCGGAUUAGCUAGUUGGCGGGGUAAAGGCCCACCAAGGCGACGAUCCGUAGCUGGUCCGAGAGGAUGAUCAGCCACACUGGAACUGAGACACGGUCCAGACUCCUACGGGAGGCAGCAGUGGGGAAUAUUGGACAAUGGGCGCAAGCCUGAUCCAGCCAUACCGCGUGGGUGAAGAAGGCCUUCGGGUUGUAAAGCCCUUUUGUUGGGAAAGAAAAGCAGCAGGUUAAUACCCCGCUGUUCUGACGGUACCCAAAGAAUAAGCACCGGCUAACUUCGUG
rnacentral:rRNA from 1 species